rnacentral:lncRNA from 1 species
UGUUGUGUACCUGAGCAUGAACAGGGAUAGAUCCUUCACAAGUGUCACUCCGAGGCCUAUGGUGGACAUCACGCUGGAGAUAGAACUGCACACAAGGUACUGCAAUCUCGUUUUUAUUGGCCUACUCUCUUCAAGGAUACUUGUAAGUUUGUAUUGUCUUGUGAUGAAUGUCACAAAAUAGGUAACAUUAGUAGACGUCAGGAAAUGCCUAUGAAUUACUAUCUAGUUAUUGAACCAUUUGAUGUUUGGUGUUUUGAUUAUAUGGGACCUUUUCCAAAAUCCAACGGGUAUACUCAUAUUCCAGUUGCUGUUGAUUAUGUUACCAAGUUGGUAGAAGAUAUUCCAACUAGUAGCGCUAAUCAUAAAACUUCUAUUAAAAUGCUGAAAGAAGUUAUUUUCCCUAGAUUUGGAGUCCCUAGAUAUUUAGUGACUGAUGGUGGUUCACAUUUUAUUCAUGGUGUUGUCCGUAAAUUGCUUGCUAGGUAUGAUGUUAAUCAUAGAGUUGCAUCUCCUUAUCAUCCUCAAUCUAGUGGACAAGUAGAAUUGAGCAAUAGAGAAAUUAAGUUGAUCUUGCAAAAGACAGUUGAUAGAUCUAGAAAGAACUGGUCUAAGAAACUUGACGAUGCAUUAUGGGCUUAUAGAACUGCUUACGAAAACCCUAUGGGUAUAUCUCCUUAUAAAAUGGUUUACGGUAAAACAUGUCACUUACCUCUAGAGCUAGAACAUAAAGCUUAUUAGGCAAUUAAAGAGAUUAAUUAUGAUUUCAAACUUGCCGGUGAGAAGAGGUUAUUUGACAUUAGCUCACUUGAUGAAUGGAGAACCCAGGCCUAUGAGAAUGCUAAGCUAUUUAAAGAACAAGUUAAGAGAUGGCAUGAUAGAAGGAUACACAAGCGUGAAUUUAAUGUAGGUGAUCAUGUCCUGCUAUACAACUCUCGUUUAAGAUUUUUUGCAGGAAAACUUCUCUCUAAAUGGGAAGGGCCUUACAUUAUCGUGGAAGUAUAUCGUUCUGGUGCCAUCAAGAUCAACAAUGCCGGAGGCACGAAUAUGAAGGUGGUAAAUGGGCAAAGGAUCAAACAUUAUAUCUCAAGUACUGCCAUAAAUGUUGAAACUAAUAUUAUCAAUACCAUAACUCCGGAAGAGUACAUUAGGGAGACCUAUCAGAACGCCUCAGACCCUGAAAAAUAAUAGGUAUGUGCUACGGUAAGAAAACCGAAUCCAAAACAUUUUCAAUGGCAAUUUUUACCAGUUUUGGAAUAUUUUAAAAAUUAGUAAAAUUUAAAGCAGUCCGAAGCAUGCACGAGGAGAUGACAAGCCCGGGGGGUGCGGCCUACCCCCCUGGUCGCGCCCUACAGGCUUGUGGCCACCCCGUGCACCCUCCGGACUCCAUUUUCUUGUGGAAGACUCCUUCGGGUCGGCGAAAAUUCAUUAUAUAAUCUCCCGAAGGUUUUGACCUCUGUAUCUCGACAAUAUCUCAUGUUUUCAUUUCGAGCUGUUUCUGUAACAGAUUUAGACCAACAUGAUGUCUUCAAGUUCCCUGAAGGACAAGUUCUUUGAGAGGGUCAUCAACCCCUACCUUUCGGAGGUGCUGCAACACCCUCAAACCAUUGAGAUGAAUGAGGGGGUGCUGCACAUCCGUGAUGUUAAGGCGCCAAAGAAGACCGGAAGCAUGGAGACAAGGCUCCAACCGAUGGAGCAACAAGUCUUCAAGUGCCAAGGGAUGGUGGAACAAGGACUUAAUGCCAAUCACCUGAUGAUCACGGAGUUUACCCAUAAGCACAAGCUAGACGCCAAGGACCUCCGGGAUCACAUCUUCAAGAUUUACGAGAAAAUCGAGCACCUCCAAGCCCAGAUCUAUGACGUGCAAAACCAAAAUUGUAAGUAUGAAUACAUAAUUAAGAAAAUGAGUUUGGCUGCAGGCUUGAGGAUCCCGGAGACUAGUUCAUCUUUUCACGAUGGUGCACCCAUGCCUUGGAAGACGGAGGACAAACCUUCAAUCUCACCAACAACUCCAACAUCACCACCUCCGAAGGAAGACAACUAAACACAUGGGUAUGGGCACUCCCCUUGGCUUGUGCCAAGCUUGGGGGAGGUGCCCCGGUAUUGUAUCACCAUCGCACCUUUUUACUUUUUUGUUUUGUUUUGUUUUUCUUCGUUCGAUCCUUUUAGUCAUAUCUUGAUCUAGUAGAAUAAAUUUUUAGUUUGAUCUAGUUUUGAGUUCUUAUCUUUCUUCUUGUUCCCCCUAUGUAAGCAAGUCUGAGAGUUAUAUAAUAAAGAGUAGUUUUGAAUUGAGGGUUUGCUUGCUUGCUAUGAUCAUGAGAAAAAGAAAUAGAAAUAAGUAUAGAAUAAAAGGAAUAGAACAUGCAUAAUGAUCUUAUGAGGAGUGAUGACUUCACAUAUAAAAAAUAUGUUGACUGAAAUUUGUUGUGAGUUGACAAACAACGCUAUUGGUCAUUGUUGCAAUUAAAAGGAAGUAAUAAAUAAAGAGAGGUUCACAUAUAAAUAUAUUAUCUUAGGCAUUUUUUGUGAUUGUGAGCACUCAUUAAAAUAUCAUAUGCCAAAAGGUUGAUGUUGGACAAGGAAGACAACAUAAUGAGUUAUGAUUGCUUAUUUAUGGAUAGAAGUUAUAUGGUUAUAGAUCCUUCAACAUGUGUCGCUUGCUUCCACCUCAUAUUAGCCAAAAGAAACUCCUGCACCAAGUAGAGAUACUACUUGUGCAUCCAAAAAAACCUUUACCCCAGUUUUGCCUUGAGAGUCCACAAUGCCUAUCUAUGGAUUGAGUAAGAUCCUUCAAAUAAGUUGUCAUGGGUGCAAGCAAUAAAAAUUGCUCCCUAAAUAUGUGUAGUUUAUUAGUGCAACGAAAAUUAACUUUAUACGAACUUGUGAUAUAGAAGACAUAAAAGCGACGGACUGCAUAAUAAAGUUAUUUAUCACAAGGGGCAAUAUAAAGUGACGUUCUUUUGCAUUAGGAGAUUGUGCACCCAACAAUAAAAGCGCAUGACAACCUCUGCUUCCCUCGACGAAUGGCCUAUCUUUUACUUUUACUUUCUAAGUAUUUACCUUUAUGUAAGAGCCAUGGUGAUCUUCACCAUUUCCUUUAUUUCGCCUUUAUCUUUUGGCAAGCAUCAUGUGUUGGGGAAUGAUCUAAAAAAAUAUAUCCACUCGGAUGUGGGUAAUCAUGAGUUAUUAUUGUUGACAUUAUCCUUGAGGUAAAUAGUUGGGAGGCAUAACUAAAAGCCCCUAUCAUUCUCUGUGUGCAGUUGAAGCUUUGACCUCAUAGGUACCGCGUGAGUGUUAGCAAUUAUGAAAGACUAUAAGAUGAUCGAGUAUGUGGAUUUGCUUUACAAGCUCUUAUAUUGACUCUUUCCUACGUUGCGAUAAAUUGGAAUUGCUUCAAUAACUGAAAUCAUAGUUUGUUAGUUCUCAAUAGAGUUCCUGAUUCAUACUUUAUCUUGUUACUUCAGUAUAAGAUAUUCCAUGUCAAUGUGUGUUGCUGUUCUAAAGAAAAUCAUCAUGCCUGCACGUUCGUAUUUUAUUCUAUCGACACCUCUAUCCCUAAACAUGUGGGCAUAUUUAUUGAUCUUGGCUUUCGCUUGAGGACAAGCAAGGUCUAAGCUUGGGGGAGUUGAUACGUCCAUUUUGCAUCAUGCUUUUAUAUCAAUAUUUAUUGCAUUAGGGGUUGUUAUUACACAUUAUGAUAUAAUACGUAUGUCUUUUCUCUCUUAUUUUGCAAGAUUUACAUGAAGAAGGAGAAUGCCGACAGGUGGAAUUCUGGAGUGGAAAAGGAGCAAAUUUGAGAGACCUAUUCUGCACAGCUCCAAAAGUCCUGAAAAGUUACAGAUAAUAGUUUCGGAAUUUAUAAAAAAAUAUUGGGCGAAAGAAAUACCGGAGGAGACCCACCAGGUGGCCACAAGCCCAGAGGGCGCGACCUACCCCUUGGCCGCGCCCUGCAGGCUUGUUGGCCCCCUGAGAGACCUCUGGUGCCCAUCUUCUCCUAUAUGAAGGGUUAUGACCUAGAAAAAAUCAUAUCAGACAUUUCCGGACGCGACACUGCCGUCUUGAAGCGGAACUUCGAAAGAACCAAUCUAGAGCUCCGGUGGAGCGAUUCUGCAAGGGAAACUUCCCUCCCGGAGGGGGAAAUCGAAGCCAUCGUCAUCACCAACGACCCUCUCAUCGAGAGGGGGUCAAUCUCCAUCAACAUCUUCAUCAGCGCCAUCUCCUCUCCAAACCCUAGUUCAUCUCUUGUAUCCGAUCUUUGUCUCAAAACCUCAGAUUGGUACAUGUGGGUUCUAGUAGUGAUAAUUACUCCUUAUAGUUGAUGUUAGUUGAUAAGUUAUAUGUUGUCUCUCCUCUAGUGGUGUCAUGUGAACGUCGACUACAUGACACUUCACCAUUAUCUGGGUCUAGAGAAAGGCUUUGGAAAGUAAUAAGUAGAUGAUGGGUUGCUAGAGUGACAGAAGCUUAAACCAUAGUUGAUGCGUUUCUUCGUAAGGGGCUGAUUUGGAUCCAUAUAUUUAAUGCUAUGGUUAGAUUUAACUUAAUUCCUAUUUCGUAGUUGCGGAUGCUUGCGAGAGAGGUUAAUCAUAAGUGGGAGGUUUGUCCAUGUACGGCAGCACCCAAGCGCCGGUCCACCCACAUAUCAAAUUAUCAAAGUAACGAACGUGAAUCAUAUGAGCAUGACGAAAACUAGCAUGACAAAAAUUCUCAUGUGUCUCGGGAGCGCUUUUUUAUAUAUAAGAGUUUGACCUGGCUUGUCCUUUGCUACAAAAAGGAUUGGGCCACCUUGCUGCACCAUGGUUACAAUUAUUACUUGUUACCCGUUACAAAUUAUCUUAUCACAAAACUAUCCGUUACCGAUAAUUUCAGUGCUUGCAUAGAAUACCUUACUGAAAACCGCUUGUCAUUUCCUUCCGCUCCUCGUUGGGUUCAACACUCUUACUUAUCGAAAGAACUACUCCCUCCAUUCCUAAAUAUAAGUCUUUUAAGCGAUUUCACUAAAGGACUACACACAGAGCAAAAUGAGUGAAUCUACACUCUAAAGUAUGUCUAUAUACAUCCGUAUGAAUUCCUCUAGUGGAAUCUCUAAAAAGACUUAUAUUAUGAAACGGAAGGAGUACGAUAGAUCUCCUACAUUUGUGGGUCAUCGGUGAAUAAUCAAUUGGUGCACCAGGCCAUAGCUCAAUAAGAGUUUUCUUAUUAAGUGGAAUGGAUGAUGACCCGUUGAUGAGGUACGAGACGGUGGAGCCUCUUUUAGGCCAAAAAUGUUUACCCAUGUAAGCAUUGGGCAACAUGCAACAAGCUCUAGAGAUGAUAGUAUUGUUCAUGCGUUCAGCCACACCAUUCAAUUGAGGUACAUGGGCUUAUGUGAUGCUUGACGAUGCCCAAUUUUUUGCAGUAAUUAGUAAAAGCUUUUGAACAUAAUUCUAUAUCAUUGUUAGUAUGAAAUAUUUUUACUUUCCUCUCAGUUCGCUUUUUUACCAUAACUUUUCAAUCCUUAAAAGCAUAAAAACAUCAUAUUUAUUUUUCCAAAAAUAAGAUCACAUUUUUCUGAAUUAGUCAUCAAUAAUUGUAUAAUUAUAAGCACAUGUUAAAUUAUUAUUCAUGUCACAGAAGGUAUAUUAGAUUAUGUGAAUGCUAAUUUAAUUUUUUCGUAUACCCUAUUUUGCUGCCCGUCCUCGAGAGCACAAGCAAAAUAGUUAAACCUUUCUGUAAACCCUAUUUUACUGAUGCUCAAGAGCACCAGCAAAAUAAGCCUUACAUGAAGGUUAAAUUAGCAGGUAGAUACUCCAAUAUACUCUCUGUGAUAUGAGCAACAACUCAAUUCCCCCGUUUUAUAAUUUAAAUCAUAAAAUAACAUCAUGCAUGCAUGUUUUUCAUGAAUUUCUAACUGUAGAACCAUCAAAUACAACAAGUUACACAAAGAAAACCAUGCAUGCUUGUUGAUCGCCGUAUUAACCCCACGGAUGCAAUGUGGUGAUAAGAUAGGAGCACUAAACUUCCAGGAAUGCUUCUCUGGAAUGAAUUCAUUGGUUCAAAAGAUACUACUUUCUAUUUAAAUGUUUUUUCUAACAAUGACUAUUUAGAUACAGAGGAACUAAAUACAUCAGAUGGAUAAGGCUGUUGCAAGCGUGUAGCAGCUUCAGCUUGGAGCAUAGCUCUCCCAGCAAAAGAAAAUUUCACUCCGCCGAUGCAAAAGAUCGUCGCCGAGCCACCCCAUCCCUGCUCGGCUUGUUCCUAUCUCAAUCAACGUUGUCCGUUCUCUGCAGAUGGAGGCCAGCUAUAUCGCAUCGCAUGCAUGGGGCAUGCCAUUGCCACCAUGCCACCGUGCAUGCGGCGCUUCUUCACCACGUACGCACCCCGACCUACACCUGGCCGCGCGCAUGGCCUCCUCGCCGCAUCGCCACCCCCUAUAUAUACCAUCACUCCCCCGGAGCUAUGAUCACCAACUCAUCCGAUCAGUGUACUCGUCAGCGCGCACCAACAUCGAUCACCAUGAAGCCCGCAGCAGCAAGAUCGCCAUGGCUAGCCCUAGCCAUCGUCCUCUCCCUGUGCCUCUCCCUCUCGUUCGCGUCGUGGGAUGCGGAGGACGAAGGCAGGGGUAGCAGGAGGUGGCAAGAAGGGGGCGACGAAGGGCGGUCCGGCGAGAGUGGCCGGCCGUACCACUUCGGCGAGGAGAGCUACCGGGAGUGGGCCAAGUCCCGGCACGGCCACUUCAAGGUGCUGAAGCGGUUCGACCACGAGCUGAUCCGAGGCUCCAUCGGCGACUACCGCGUGGCGUGCCUGGACGCGGCGCCGCGCGCGUUCCUGCAGCCCAGCCACUACGACGCCGACGAGAUCGCCUACGUGAGGGAAGGCGAGGGCGUGGUCGUGCUGCUGAGGAACGGGAAGCGGGAGUCCUUGUGCGUCAGGGAGGGCGACGUCUUCGUCAUCCCGGCCGGCUCCAUCGUGUACUCCGCCAACACGCACCGCUCCAAGUGGUUCCGCGUCGUCAUGCUCCUCAACCCCGUCUCCACGCCGGGCAGCUUCCAGGUGAGCGUGAGCCAUGGCCGCAGCAUGCAAGCUCCUCCACCAUUAAUUUGCGUUGCAUGCAAAUUAAGACUUGCUUACUUUUGGUGUCCCUGCUAUGUUUGUUUAGGAGUUCUUCCCUAUUGGAUAUGGGGGCGAGCAGCAGCCGGAGUCCUUCUUCAGCGUCUUCAGCGACGAGGUUAUCCGGGCGGCAUUCAACGUACGUACUACGCGCUGACCAUCGGCACUGAUUUUUUUUGUUUGUUCAUCACCUGAUUGCUGAUUCAGCUGAUCGAUCUUAAGCUUGUGCGCGCUAACCAUCUGCAUGCAUGCAUGUGUUUUGUUUUGAUAGACUCGGCGGCGGGAGGAUGUUGACAGAGUGUUCAAGAGGAAUAGCAGAGGUGAGGGUGAGAUAUCUGAGGCGUCGGAGGAGCAGAUACGGGAGCUGAGCAGGUCGUGCUCCAGGGGAGGACGCGGCGGCGGAGGCGGCGGAGGCGGAGGGUCUGGUUCCGAGAAGGAGGACAUCCGGCCGCGCAGCCUCACAGGCGAGAAGCCCCGCUACUCGAACAAGCACGGCAGGUUGCACCAGAUCACCGGCGACCAGUGCCCCCACCUCCGCAACCUCGACUUGGAUGUCAACCUCGUCAACAUCACCCGGGUAAAGCAUGCAUCGGCGCCGCACAUACAUAUAGUACUCCAGUUUUGUAGCAUGAUGCAACCAAACGGAUUGGUGCGCCUAAACCGGUGUGUGUUCUUCCGUCGUGUGUGCAUGCAUGCAGGGCUCGAUGACGGCACUGAGAUACACCACCCGGGCGACCAAGAUCGUCGUCGUCGUGGAGGCCGGAAACGACGGCAACUACUUUGAGAUGGCGUGCCCGCACCUCUCCAGCUCCGGCCGUUCUGAACGCCGGGAGCGCGGCAGGAGCGAGGAGCAGGGAGGACAGGAGGAGGAGAAGGGCCACGGCGGCGAGCAGGAGAAAUCGAGGGGCUACAGGCAGGUGAGGGCCGAGAUCAAGGUGGGCUCGGUGAUCGUGCUCCCGGCUGGCCACCCGGCGACGUUCGUGGCCGGGAACGAGGGGAACCUCGCGCUGCUGUCCUUCGGCGUGGGCGCCAACAACGACGAGGAGGUGUUCAUGACCGGCGGGAACAGCGCGCUGAAGCAGCUGGACGAGGCGGCCAAGGCGCUGGCGUUCCCCCAGCAGGUGAGGGAGCUGGCGGACAAGGUCAUCCGCGCGCAGACGGAGGCCGUGUUCCACGACGGCCCGCAGCAGCAGCGCCGCGCCUUCUUCGACAUGUGAGCGGCGACGAUCUCGACUCGAAUGUGGGCAUGCAUGCAAUUCGUGGAGCUGCUUGCAUGCAUGCAUGAGUGAUGAGUGUAGAUGUGUGGCGGGAAUAAAAAGCUAGUAGUACGUACGCGCGGCACGGUGCUGCCUGGCUACAGGAGUACGUGCGUGUAGCAGAGGAGAGGUUUGUAUGUCUCAUGUAUGUGCAUGCUUGUGUUCAAGCGUGCGCGGUUGUGUACGUACGCGUGCAUGUACGGGAGUUUUCUAUGUAUGCAAGUUUUCUAUGUAUGUAAGUGUACGUGAGUUUUUCGGUAAUAAUAACGUGAUUUGGCCCGUCGGCUGGUAGGAACUUGGAACGUGUCUGUGUAAAGAGUAGAAUGGAACGUGUCUUGUGUAAAGAGUUCUACUCGUACAGUGACAAAAAAAGACAAAAAAAGACUUUGUCAUCCAGUG